rnacentral:rRNA from 1 species
GAUGAACGCUGGCGGCGUGCCUAAUACAUGCAAGUCGAGCGAACGGACGAGAAGCUUGCUUCUCUGAUGUUGGCGGCGGACGGGUGAGUAACACGUGGAUAACCUACCUAUAAGACUGGGAUAACUUCGGGAAACCGGAGCUAAUACCGGAUAAUAUUUUGAACCGCAUGGUUCAAAAGUGAAAGACGGACUUGCUGUCACUUAUAGAUGGAUCCGCGCUGCAUUAGCUAGUUGGUAAGGUAACGGCUUACCAAGGCAACGAUGCAUAGCCGACCUGAGAGGGUGAUCGGCCACACUGGAACUGAGACACGGUCCAGACUCCUACGGGAGGCAGCAGUAGGGAAUCUUCCGCAAUGGGCGAAAGCCUGACGGAGCAACGCCGCGUGAGUGAUGAAGGUCUUCGGAUCGUAAAACUCUGUUAUUAGGGAAGAACAUAUGUGUAAGUAACUGUGCACAUCUUGACGGUACCUAAUCAGAAAGCCACGGCUAACUACGUG